UCCCGUUUAGCUCAGUGGUAGAGCGCGUCACUAGUAUCAGCACCGUUUCACAGUUCUGGGCCUAUGACGAGGUCAGUCGUUCAAGUCGGCUAAUGGGAA